rnacentral:rRNA from 1 species
UACUUUUCAGUGAAUACAUAGCUGAUUAGAGGUAGACGCAGAGAACUGAAACAUCUUAGUACCUGCAGGAAGAGAAAGAAAAUUCGAUUCCCUGAGUAGCGGCGAGCGAAACGGGAAGAGCCCAAACCAACAAGCUUGCUUGUUGGGGUUGUAGGACUCCGAUAUGGUAGUCUGUUAGUAUAGUUGAAGGAUUUGGAAAAUUCCGCUAAAGAGGGUGAAAGCCCCGUAGACGAAAUGCUGACAACACCUAGGAGGAUCCUGAGUACGGCGGAACACGAGAAAUUCCGUCGGAAUCCGCGGGGACCAUCCCGCAAGGCUAAAUACUCCCUAGUGACCGAUAGUGAACCAGUACCGUGAGGGAAAGGUGAAAAGCACCCCGGAAGGGGAGUGAAAUAGAUCCUGAAACCGUGUGCCUACAACAAGUCAAAGCUCGUUAAUGAGUGAUGGCGUGCCUUUUGUAGAAUGAACCGGCGAGUUACGAUUGCAUGCGAGGUUAAGUCGAAGAGACGGAGCCGCAGCGAAAGCGAGUCUGAAUAGGGCGAAUGAGUAUGUAGUCGUAGACCCGAAACCAUGUGAUCUACCCAUGUCCAGGUUGAAGGUGCGGUAAAACGCACUGGAGGACCGAACCCACGUACGUUGAAAAGUGCGGGGAUGAGGUGUGGGUAGCGGAGAAAUUCCAAACGAACUUGGAGAUAGCUGGUUCUCUCCGAAAUAGCUUUAGGGCUAGCCUCGGAAUUGAGAAUGAUGGAGGUAGAGCACUGUUUGGACUAGGGGCCCAUCUCGGGUUACCGAAUUCAGAUAAACUCCGAAUGCCAUUCAUUUAUAUCCGGGAGUCAGACUGCGAGUGAUAAGAUCCGUAGUCGAAAGGGAAACAGCCCAGACCACCAGCUAAGGUCCCAAAAUAUAUGUUAAGUGGAAAAGGAUGUGGGGUUGCACAGACAACUAGGAUGUUGGCUUAGAAGCAGCCACCAUUUAAAGAGUGCGUAAUAGCUCACUAGUCGAGUGACCCUGCGCCGAAAAUGUACCGGGGCUAAACAUAUUACCGAAG